rnacentral:rRNA from 1 species
UACGGAGGAUGCGAGCGUAAUCCGGAUUUAUUGGGUUUAAAGGGUGCGUAGGCGGGCUUUUAAGUCAGCGGUAAAAAUUCGGGGCUCAACCCCGUCCGGCCGUUGAAACUGGGGGCCUUGAGUGGGCGAGAAGAAGGCGGAAUGCGUGGUGUAGCGGUGAAAUGCAUAGAUAUCACGCAGAACCCCGAUUGCGAAGGCAGCCUUCCGGCGCCCUACUGACGCUGAGGCACGAAAGUGCGGGGAUCGAACAGG